UACGGAGGGGGCUAGCGUUGUUCGGAAUUACUGGGCGUAAAGCGCACGUAGGCGGAUAUUUAAGUCAGGGGUGAAAUCCCGGGGCUCAACCCCGGAACUGCCUUUGAUACUGGGUAUCUGGAGGUCGAGAGAGGCGAGUGGAAUUCCGAGUGUAGAGGUGAAAUUCGUAGAUAUUCGGAGGAACACCAGUGGCGAAGGCGGCUCGCUGGCUCGAUACUGACGCUGAGGUGCGAAAGCUAGGGGAGCAAACAGG
rnacentral:rRNA from 1 species